AACCUUGGAUCAUCACCAGAUCCAGAAUGUCUAGAGGUGUCAAGGAAUCAAGAUACUCCAUUCAUUACAGGGGAAUCAUUAUCGCAUGAGCUUCUGAAGGAAGACAUUGCUGAUGAAUACAUUAAUAAUGAUAAGGAACCUGAAGAUGAUGAUUACGAUGAUGAUGAUGAUGAUGGCCUGUUUGGCCCUAGAAAGCUCUUCUUCUUUGGUGUUGACUAUUUUAAGGGUGCUAAAAAAUCCAUUUGGUGAAAACAAACAAAAGCUUGAUGGAAGGACAGAAAAAUAGUUUGAAGGAAA